rnacentral:rRNA from 1 species
GUGGGGAAUCUUCCGCAAUGGACGAAAGUCUGACGGAGCAACGCCGCGUGAGUGAAGAAGGUUUUCGGAUCGUAAAGCUCUUUCGUUAGGGACGAACGUGCUCUUUGUGAAUAAUGAGGAGUAAUGACGGUACCUAAAUAAGAAGCCACGGCUAACUACGUGCCAGCAGCCGCGGUAAUACGUAGGUGGCAAGCGUUGUCCGGAAUUAUUGGGCGUAAAGCGCGCGCAGGCGGGAUAUCAAGUCUGUCUUAAAAGUGCGAGGCUCAACCUCGUGAGGGGACAGAAACUGGUAUUCUUGAGUGUCGGAGAGGAAAGUGGAAUUCCAAGUGUAGCGGUGAAAUGCGUAGAGAUUUGGAAGAAAACCAGUGGCGAAGGCGACUUUCUGGACGAUGUCUGACGCUGAGGCGCGAAAGCUAGGGGAGCGAACGGGAUUAGAAACCCCUGUAGUCC